UCGUAAAUAGCUAAAUAAUAAAAAACAUUGGUAAUACUUGGUACGAACCUUUCUCGCGUCUUUUAUCCGAUGCACGAGAUAUAUGUGCAGCGAAGUUUGCAAAUAUUACUCGUAAAUCAGGAACUUUUUUACAGCCCCCCCUCUGGCCCCAGCGUAGAUGAAAAUCUCAAAGUCCCGGGGAUUUGUUCCCCCUUUAUUUUCCCACUUCAAUUCCCUCUUUUCAUCCCUUUUUCUCGUUGUUCAAAAUUGAAAAUAAUUUUUUCGUCCCAACCUCGGGUAUUUACACAGUAUUGAACUGUCAAUCCCAGUACUUUAAUCGAGUUUCUAAUUGUACGCUUGUCCAUUGCUGAGAUUGAAUGGGCCGUGUAUACUGCGGUCUCCGUGAGACGAAGAGUGCAUGAAAGCAUGGUAAGGGGAGAUACAAAUUGAAUGAGGGAAAACCCGGGGAAAUUGAAUGUUGUAUUGUACAAUCGUUGCGGUACUUUGCAAUUUGUCGAGAAUGCAAUUUAAUCGGCAAAUUUUCUCAUUGUCCAGAAGUAAUGUCAUCCCUUCGACUUCCUUCUUCAACAUAAUGUGAUUUUUUUUUGUCACAAAUAAUGUGAAAGUGAUGAACCUGUGUCUGCCUCGAUAUAUCCGAUAAACUGAUACGGAGCCAUUAAAAUUUUACAAUCGAGCAUUCGUGGAGCGAAUGGAAAGCUGAAAAUAAUAAUCCAAUGGUGUAACAAAAUCGGUGAAAGAGAAUAUCUGAAUAUAAAAUUGCACAAAUAACUGUAGCUCUACUUCGCUUAAUAUUUUCUUUUUAUUCAACCUGUUUACGCUCGUACCUUCAUUCUCCGCUCGUUGAAACAAUCGCCGUCUUCCUCACUCUCCUGCAUUAAUCUCCAUCACAUGGGCUCUGAGCGCGGCUGACGGAGAUGGGGGUUGAGGGGCCGAAACUCUCGGUGCGCUUCGCGAUCAAGUUUCAACAGCACUCCCGUGUGCCGGGAGUCUCUCUGUGGUCUCAGAGCGCUCUCGCUGUUGAAUUCCAAAGGAUAGCUUCGGGCUUACCACCUUCGUUGGAUCGCAAACCCAGUUUCAAACCAACGUACAAUUGUUGACCAUUGCCCAGUUGAAUUUCUAAACAGCCCUAAUUUUACGGAAUUUGCAUUUUCGGCGAAGGGCUGCACAUUGCCGUCAGCUAUCCACUAGUCAACUGUCAAACCCAUUGGUACAAAUUUCAGGGCGACAUUCGGUGAGAUUCGUGGAAUUAAUAAUUUUUUUUGUCGUUGGAAAUUGAUCAUUCCCGAAGAGCGAAUUGGCAUGACAGAAUAAAAUUGAAUAAAAAUCAAAAACGCUAAAUAAUCCAUCAAAAUAUACCCCAAGAUGUUAUACUCCACACCCCAAUGACGCCAGGCAUUUCUCCCAGACGAAGGCCAUCCUACAUACGCAUCAUUUCACGAGAGCCUCUGUAAUAUUGAUGUCUUCUUUGCGUUGGUGAGUGGCCGGAGGGUCUGGCCAAGGGGUUUGGAGCCCUCAAAGUUUAUUGAAAGUCCCACCAUCAUGCUGAGACCUUGUUUAAACGGCAAAUAGCCUUCAUACAGCCAUGAAAACUACGGAAUCUUGAAGGGGAUGAAUGGCUCUCAGUGCUGGUGAGGGCGCAACGGGGGUUGGAAAAAAAAUUUCGAAUGCCUCACGAUCUUCCGACCCUCGGGCCAACUCAACUGAGCCAACUCACAUCGACGCCUUCGUUCUUGGUACAGAAGGGCCUAUAAAAAAAUGAGUAGAGUAAGUAGCAUUUGGGAAGAAAUCCAGACUUGAAGGGAAUCAUAGGAUGGAAUGAGAGGAUAUCAAAUGAAAUUUCUAUUUCAAUUAAAAUUCCAUCAAUUUUAUCGGCUUAUUUUCAUUAUAGAUAAAUAUGUAUAAAUAGUGUCCGUAGAACUAGACGAAAAUUCUGGCAUCCUCGAAAAUAAAAUCGUUAUCUCCCAAUUUAUUUCAUCACAUUUCAAGAAUAAAUGAGAAAUGAUAAAAAAUAGCACGAAUGAAAUUUCUCCGGAACGAGAACACCAUCCUAGACGACAAGUGGAUUUGUUACGCUUGCGUGGUUACGGAAAUGCAUAUGCAAGUGAGUUUGAAGGGACACUCGAAGAUGAAGUAACAAGAUACGAAAACCGAGAGAAAUCCAAAUGACGUAAGGUAGACGCUUGAGUUGGAUGGAAAUCGUGCAUCUCCGAAUAAAAAAAAGUCCCCACCGACUCCAAAAGGAGUUGAGGAAAAAGAGAGAAACAUGUCCUCGAGCGAUUUUAAAUUAACGAGGUCAAAUAAUCGUGGACGUCUCCAACAAAUGGUGUACGACCGCUGGGCCCUCGUUACAACGAAUGAAAACCAUCUACGGGAAUAAAUAUUCAGGCUGAAGAAAGAACUCAAUGAUGGAGGGAAAAAAGAAACAACGCGAAUGCCCAAGAGGGGAUGAAGAGUCGAGCGAAAUGUUGAACGUGAAGAAAGUAAAUGAGGGAAAAAAAUGUCGAUGCCAUGUCCAAGGUAUCGAUGAAUUGGGUGCGAUCAGUGGCCUCAUUUUCAAGGUACAUGGGAUAGAGCGACAGUAGCCGGAAGCUCUUCUUGCUUUUUCCAAUGUUCCCGAUGGUUUUCACUGCAUAAAUCAUCGGAAAAAUCGUUGAUGCAGAAGCCAUAGCGUUCCCGAAGAAGUGAAGAAUGAGAUGGGUUUGAAAAUGCAAAUAAAAAAUCACCGGGGAAGACAGCUCUCGUAUUACUCGGAAAAUGAAAACACAAUUGAACGAGUCAAUUUGAUAUUCGGCCCCUGCGGUCAGAAGCCCCAUAAGAAAUCAAAUAAAAUCAACGGAGCCGGAGUGACGCGAAGGUGAAGGAAUGGUACAAACGGGAGACGCAGGUGGUCUGGUUUUUGCGGUUACUUUUUCACCUCUCGAUCUUCAAACGAGAAUAUCAUCUCACCUCACCAGCUGCUGCUACCAUAUCUCAUCAGCAUCCAAUACUUGCCCCCUCGCCUCCCCCAAAAACCGGUUGAACAAUGACUUCAAAUGUGAAACUGUUCGUCGAGACAGCAACGUUUUCACGUAAUUAACCAGACAAUGUUGUAUGAUCUAAUGGCAAUGGAGAGACCGUUAAUUAGGGAAAUGAUUCAACGAUACGUACAGAAGCAAGGUGUCUUCACCGUCUCGUUGUCUCCUGUGGGUUGACAUUCAGUUACCUCAGGGGUCGGAAAAGGUCUCAAAAGCACAAUCGCCGGUGGGUGUUCACUGAAACUCCUCAGUAUGUGGUGGUUACUAUGUUACAUACUGUUAGACGCCACUUGCACAUUCUGUGUGAUGGUACGGUACAACCUUAAUGGAAUGAUUCAGUGUGAGAUACGUACGGUAUUGGAAUCCUUCUGGGCACAGCUACAAAGGAAGUUACGCGAGGGCUCAUCACCAGGGCAGAUAUAUUCACACAAAGUGUCCUCAUCGUUGAGAAACGUUAGUAUCUGUUGCUGUAUCUGGUUGGAUAUCAGAACGAUGAGCUGAUUGGGCUGAUCUUACAGCGGGGGGAAUUAAUGAGAGCAUCUUCAAAGACUUCCUUCCAUAGGGCUCCACACGUUGUGUCCUUUUUUCGAAAAAUAAGCUGUUUGUCCUGUGUCAUAAUUUUGUUAAAGAACAAGUGAAAUAAUGACUGAAGAGGAAAUAGGAGAUUCUGAGACUUUAGACAAAUCGCAUAUUCGAAAUUUGGUUUCGUAUUCUUCUCCCGUUGUCAGAGAAUUUUAUUGCUCCCUAAUCAACAAUAAAAUUAUCUGGAAUUUUGUUAUUUUUUCGGCCCAAGUCGAUAUCCUCCGUCAAUGUUUCACAAUUAGCGCCUCUUGGCGUAACAACACAAGAGAGAAAAUUAAUGAGGCAGUUUUACACAAAGCCCUGUAAAUUGCGGUUGGCCUUGUAUCAUGAUUCUGUUGAACAGCAAUUGAGAGAAUAAUUAAAGUAAAAAAUUGGUGGAAAACCGGGGAACAAAUGUUACAGCAAGCUUGCAGGAUUUUCACCCUUGUCACGUGAAAACAAUUGGCUUUGACGAGCGAACCAUUCUAAUUAAUACAAUGCUUUACAAUACACCCGCUUGACAGCAACAUACAACAACAUCUACAGUCGUCCUAACUGUGUAGCACGCGUCGAGGGAGAAUUUUGUUUGAUGAAGGGUGUGCAAGAGUAUACGAAAUUUGUGCGAUUUGUAACAUUUGGCUUGGGAAAUUGGGUAGACGCGUGUGCUUUAUUUCGUAGUUUUGCCGAGAUAUUGCCAGGCCAGAGCGGUCGUUCCAACGCGGGAAAAUCUCAAUGCAUGUGCACAAUGCGUCUCUCUCCACCAAUCGCCAUUCACCAUUUCAGUCUUCCAACUACCCUCGAUAAGAUACGAGACGUCCCUGGAAUUUAAUUAUUGACCGCUGAACAACAGCCGCCCAACUUGGCGGGACAAGAGAGGGAGAGAGAGGGCGAAGUCCAUUCCAAUCGCCAUGACACGAAGGCGGUUACCCUCAUACCCCCAGUCAAUCGCGUGAUUUAUGCUCGGAAGCAUGUCCUUUGUGAGGGAUUGAUACCAUGCGCGUCCCCCAUGCCUAUCCCAUUUCACAGCCUUAUUGUUGAGGUGGCUCGCUGGCCUUUGAACUAUUCAAGGUCUCAUUACCGUCGUAAUUACAUUCUUUAUUAUGGGUUGUCAUCUGAGAUUUUUCGGCUGGGGGAUUCGUCAAGCGAUUUGAUGAGUAUUUAAUUCACUUUGUGGGCGGAAGUGAGAUUUGUUUUAUAUCUUCCCUCAAUAUUGUUGACACCGGAUUUCUUCAGAAUUAUUAAUUAUGACCAUUCAUAAAAUUUUCAUAUUUUUUUCUUCACCUCUCAAGUGGAUUGCAUAGAUUUUUCUUCGUCUGAUUUAUUUAAGUCCACUCAAUAACACUCCAGGGAGCAGUCAUUCUUCUCCUUUUCCUGUGGAUUUCCGAGCAAAUCCUUCAUCACCACUGGGACAUUUAUUGCUUUCAAAGGAGACGUCUAUUGAAACGAUAAGUUCACUGUAUCCGCGGUAUUUGUGACUUUUUUUCUACCGAAAUAUCCACGAUCCGAUGACAUGUCGCAAUUCAUUUUCCCAUUAGCAGGUAAGGGAAGCAGUCUCCUACCCUUCAACCUACUUAUUGAACAGUUCGCUUCAUGUUAACGAGAUUGAGGGACCUUCUGAAUGACAUUGGUGAAUUUGGAGAGCUGAAUAUUCGUUGAUAAUUACUGAAACUACUUAGUUGGAAAGAAAAAGGGUUGUACAGAGAUUAUUGUGGGAUAAUUGGUGAAGGAUUUUUAGCAGAAAACGUCAUCACGAGAUUCUUCUCACUACUCUCUCUCUCCCUCAUGUCUCUAUAAACUUAUAUUACUCCAAACUCAUCCUCGGGGAGUCUGCAGAAAUAGCAGCUAAAUGUCUACGAUAAAAUAUUAUAACUACUCUGGAAAAUUACUGGACCUCGUCCUUCCUAAUGUAGACGGAAUAUUGCGACAUAAAAAUAUAUUCCCCAAAACUAUAAAUAUUUUCGAUACCACAUUAUCUAUCAAAUGGCUUAUUCUAUCCAUGCAGAUUCGGUACCUACUGGAUAUUUGGAGAUACAAUAAUAAUUCAAGAAUGAAUCACUUGAACUUUGUUGCAAAUUUUUGGCCAGUGAAAUUCAAUUUAAUCGCAUUUAUUGUUGAAAGCUCUGGGGUUGCUGUGGCGUCAGGGUGCUCAUGAAUUUGCAUGGCAUUCAGCGAGGUCUCGUUUCCGGAAAUACCAGUGCAGAUGCAUCAGUGACUUGUUUAUUUACAGUACACAAUGGUUUGCAAUUCACGAGGACAGGAAGAGAAAGAGUAAAUACUCAACUAAUUUUUCAUUAAGUCAGAGAAAAUUAUAAACUGCCAGGUGGGAAAAUCCUUGAGUCAACUCUCAGUCAUAAGAUUCGUUGGACCUGUUAGGCUUCUAUUAUCAGAUGACGAGCCCAAAUAAUUCAGCUCGACCUGUAAGCCGUCCGAAUGGGAGGCAGCCUUCCUAAAAUAUCAUGACCUAACUGUGAUAAAGUGAACUCUGGUUGAUCACUGAUGAGCAUCCUAUCAAUCAAUCAGAACUGUAAGUCACUUCUCAUCAAUCCCGUCAUCGACGGAGACGUCGCAAAUACUUCAACCAAUAGUUAUCCGAAAUUGAAGUGCCAAAUAGUCAGUUAAUCAUUCCAGCGAGCUCAUCAGCCUCAACCACCAUUUGUUGGAGAUUAAAAUUUCAGUCCAUCAGGUAAUCAUCUCACGUCCUUCACUGAUGGAAUUUCACAUUCGAUGUAUCCGGUGCCGCAUAACCGUCGGAAUUCAAGCAUUUUUAUCAAGUCACAGAGCGUCAGAAGAAACGCGUUCAGCUUCCUGCGAAUCUAGUUUCAGGUUGAUUCCCAUUGGGCGUUCGAUAGCGUGUUUCGAUCUGGCAAGAUUCAACAUCACGUUUCACCUUCCGGUCUCGGGCAAAACUCGACGACGCCAAACGGAUGAUAUUGCUACGGGACGCGUACCACUCACCGUAUCCAUUAUUCAAUCCUUUUUGCGGUGGAACAAAACCACCAAGCGCAUUUCGCUAUGGCUUUGGAUACGUGGUGCAGAACCGGAGGAGAGAUGUAAAUAUAUAAUCGCUCUGUGCAACUAUACGAGUAAACGGUGUUGCUUGAUCUGCGUACGUGCAUGAAGGUUGAACACGAGGGGGUGGGAAUUCAAUGCGUAUGAAGGGAGAAAAGCUUGAAAGGGAUUAAAUAGGAUUUUGUAAGGUAAUCUCCGUUGUUAAAAAUUUUUGAAUGAAUAUGUCUGCUCAUUUCUCCCGGUGGGAUCAUCAAUCUUUGCAUUUCACGUUAAUCAGCUCAUCACAAUUACGCGGAAAGAAAUUUUGGGUAAAAAUUAGACCAUCAGAGAGCAAAAUGUCGUUCCAUGUAAAUUGCAAGGGAUUCGAUAGUAGGAAAUAGUCCUCUCGAUCUCUUUGAAUUUUUUUCUUUAUUUUGAUGAAUAAGGAUGAGGACAAUAUCAUCGUCGUCUGACCUCUCAAGACAAGACUCUCCUGGCUUAACCGGAUCGUGGCAUUCAGGACGUAAUUACAAUUUUAGUUGCUGAGUGAAUCGCGUGAGAGGUCUCUGACAGAUAACUGCGUGGAGACGUUGAAAUUACCCGUUGAGACAUGCCCUGGGCAAGGUAACUUGAGAAACUAUUCUGACUCUGAAACGACACUUUUUCUUCACUCCUUCGACUCUCGGCGUUUUCAAUGGUGCAUCUCUAACGUUCAGCCCCACCGGUAGUUGUGUUCCAACAGUUUGUCUCACUAUCACUUCAGUUUCUUUCCACGUUCAAUGUACCCGACGCUUCGGGAAUAAUGAUCAAUUUGUUACGCUUGGAGGAACUGAAAAAAAGGGGAGUGGUAUCGAUUGGUAGUCUACAGUGACAAUCACGGUGAUUCAAUUUAAUAUUCUGGUGAUGGAUUUUUUCACAUUUCGCGGAAGAAUCUCGAGAGUCGAACCUACUACGAGAAAAAUCGGAUUAUUUACACCGAUAAUUUGCGACGAUUUCUCGUGAGAUUAACUGAUUUUUCACGCAAACAAUUAUUUAAUGAGAAUUUAGGGCAGGAAAUGUCGCAAAACUCCCGAAAUUCUUCCAGAGAAUUCCACAUUUUUUUCAACGAUUGCCUGGGGACAGUAAAAUCGGGAUUCACUUCCGCCGAAUUAGCGAGAAUUAUCGGCUAUAAAUGUUCUCGUACAACAAAAAAUAUCCCUCGAAAUACCGUCAAUUGGCAUUGAAACUGUUAUCUGCGUCCUAAAAUCGAUAGAUUGAAAUAGCAAACAACGCGCCUGGAACAAGGAAAAUUGCAGGGAGUAACUCGCCAUUGGAUAGGCCCAUCGAGUAUUCAUGCAGCUUUAAUUACCGGAAUAGAGUUCCCACCCGAUUGGAAAAGUUUGGACGAUGCCUGCAUAACCGAUCAAGUAACGCCAGGAACAAAAUGCAGUCGACAGAGGGGUUUGAACUCUCAACUCCUAGGAGUCUGGCGUCCAUCCCUUUUUAUGCUACAGUGAGCCUUACCCAGCUAUCGAGUUGUCUGUCAUUGAGGAUUCAUAGUCACUCGUCUCUGCAAGACGUGAUAAAUUAAAAUUUCUGGGUAACUUUAAAUUGACUUGCACAAGUGUCUAUGCGAGAAAGGCUGGCUCGCAUCCUUAAAAAAUCUAGUUUUUCACUGCGAACUUCAUCUUCAUAUUCCAACUGAAUAUAUGACGGUGAGAAGGGGUAAAAUAUUCGGGCAGGAGCUAUCAAUUGGGUAAUUUUUUCCACCAUCAAGUUUGUUACAAUAUCCCGAGACAAAUAAGACAGCUGGGAUGUCUCUAUUGUUGUCAAAAGUUUACCGAGUCCUGCCAAACUCCUGAAAUAUAGUGAAUUCAUCCGGAGGCGAGGCGUAGGUCUUGGCUGUAGUCCUAGACGAUCAAUUCCUGUCAAUCGUAAUAGUGAAGAGGUGCCCUGGGGCACCAGAAGGUGCUGAACCAGAAGGAGAUUGGAUUGCAGAGUAUAACAUUGAGUCCAUUAUUAGCUUCACUCAACGAAGGAAAUGACUAUUGUCCUACAUGAAGUCCAUGCCCUGAUUCAUUAUCCCAAUCGUUUGACUUUUCAUACUCAUCGAGGGUCGUUGCAUAUUUCGGGGGUAUAUUUACAGAUCCCUCCGGGAGGAAACCUCUAAUAUUCAUGGUCUAAUGUAUUUUCGUAUCUGACAGGGGUUCACUCGAUCGUAUUAUUACCGUCCAACCCAUAAUUAUGAAUGAGUUCGUUCUUCAUUUUGAGUUUAAUCAUAUUGAUGUUAUUGUGGAAACGUUGGUAGGAUUUUACUUUUUAAUUGACACUGAAUAUUUAAUGGGUCGAAAAUUUUGCAGCUGUAAUUUCAUCAAAAAACUUUGCGAUGUUGAGCUUUCCAUUCUAUUCAUAAAUAGAUUAACCGAAAUAGAAACAAUCUGUCUUCAUUUACCUUCAUAUUUCUGCAGGGGGGGGGACUAAAGUAGAUGGUUCCAUUCCCUCUGAAAUAUAUGCACUCUUGCAACGUCCCGCACUCUCGCAAUUCAAUCAUCGUCAGGAAGUGGAGACUCACUCCUCCGAUGUACGUUUGCAAUCACAGAUAUUCCCCUCACAAUUCCACACCAUGUCACAUACACUAGUUAACAAUUUUCCGGUGAAAUUUCGAAGACAUUUCGUCACUAAAAGUUUCUAAUGAGAGAUCAUAGUCAUCAAGAGCUUAUUUUCAUUUCCAAUCCUUUUUAUUUUUAGUUGGCGACAUGACUAAAAUUGCAUGUGACUGUAUCAUCCGAAAAUAAAUAAAAAAUAAAUUAAAAAAUGAUCAAAAUAAUUUUUGGUUUUGGGCUUCCCGAAUGGUUUCGUAAUUUUUACCCACCAUUUCCCUUCACGUACAGCGUGAAUGGCCUGGAGAGUCUCCCUCCCAUUCCAUUCCAAAAUGAACACUUCCCCGAAUGCAAUGUAUUCUCUUAGAAACAAGUCAAGUGCACAUACAAAUUGCGAAGAAUUCUUCCCGCGUGAAUAGACGCAAUGCUGUACCGUACAUAUACCAGCGAAUAGUUCCCAACACUCGGGGCCUUCAGACUUAAUAAGCAAGUGAAGGGCCAUCAAAAUUUAUGGGAUUUUCUCAAGUUGGCCCUUAAUUUCUCAUUGAAAUACUCCAUUUACCAUUCUGUGCUACAUUCAAAUUCCCCUGCGACACCUUACCAACAGCCUCCCCUUAUUUCCACAGCGCACCUCCAUCUCCAUCCCCCUCACAGCACAGCCACCAACUUUGUCAAGUAGCAGCCAUCCAGAGUUUAUGCUUCGAUGAUAUCCCAAUGGUCUACGAUAUCAUCUGUUAUUAGAACGUUAAUCUGGAAUACUCGGGGAAUGUGCAUGCCCAUUGCGCAUUAUCCCUGAGCGGUUUAAUAGUUCUAUUGUAGAGGAGUUCGCAAGAUCCUCGGUAACCACUGCCUCUUGGAGUUAUCACAAUAUCCAGUUUGACGUCACAGAUGUAAAAUUGGAUGCAAUAACUCGGUGGAGCACUUGACUAAGACAAAUUACCCUUAAUUGCUGACUAGUAAAAAUUUUUCAAAAUAAUGUGGGAACUGAAUUCACUUGGAAAGAAAAUUCUGCGGAAAAUUCUCGUGUUAAAAUCGUUACAGAGGAUUUCUCUCCGAGAAGUUGAUGAAUAAAGUUCUAUUGUAGUUCUGGGUUCAUGUGGGCGAGAUCCUCGGCAACCAGUGGUUCCUGGAGAUACCACAAUAUUCAGUUGAAUAUCAAAAAUGUAAAACUCGAUGCAAUAAGUCAGUGGAACACUCAAACGAGAAGGAUUACACUCAUCCGGAGUCGAUGAUCUUGCAUUUCUAGAGUCGCUGUAGUUUCCAGGGAAUUAAUAACUCCAGGAAUAUCCUCGAGGAUAAUUGGGUGUGUCUAGACGGCCAAUGUAAAUUCAAGGGGCUCGAGGGACACUCGGAAUUGAACAGUCAAUCGUCUUCGAUUGUUGCCCGUCGAUUUACGAAUGUACUCGCUUGUACUUCCCGGUAAACUGUUGAAUAGCGAUGUGGAGGUGGAGAUAGUUUGCUAAGUGUAUCCGGAAGGUACCGGAAUAUCGAUUUUUCGGGCUUCAGAGUGUGACUGAGCGCCGGGGGACAGCAGGGGUGGGUUUGGUGAUGAUGAGAUUUAGAUAUUGAGGGGUUUACGAUACAAUAAACGAAGAGAAGUUUCCUCUGAAGGAAAAAAAUCACAAUUCCGGGGUAAAAUGUCGCGGAAGUUCCGGGGAAAUUCGGCUCUGCAGCAAAAUCGAUCAAUUCCGAUGAUUAUCGAAGGUUCCAUUCGCAUUCAAAAUCGCCAUUGUACCUCAUCCACUGAAUAUCUCCUGCAUCACCAAUUAACACACCCAUAAGAUGUGUUCGAUAGCAGCGUCCGGUUAAUCUCCAAUUACAAUUCAAGCUCGGAAUAUCACGAAUUCACGAUGAAACAGAUACGAUAAAGAAGCGCACGAUAAGAUGAAUAGGGGUGGAGGGGGUGGACGGACAGUUGUACUGGUGAGUCAUUAGCGCAGUCAUGAGGAGGAACGAUCAUACAUGCAAGCGAGGGAGCUUCUGAUUCGCGUGGCUUUUUCACUGGUGCGUUGGUGGACGUGAAAAAAAAAUAUGUUGCACGUAUGAACGCGUAUUGUCCCGUGGUUUCUCCGUGUCGUUAUGUACGAAACGGUCUAGAUUGGCGAGCCGUAACGAAGACAUCCGGUCGCACGCCCUACACACGCACCCGUGGCCCAGACCACGGAGAUAGGAUGGAGAGACAAAAGGAGACCAUCAACAAUGGAAAACAAUGGGUGGAAAAAAAUGUACAUCAGGAUUAUGGAUAAUUUUAUUCCAUUCGUCAGAAUCUAUUGGUCUUGGUGCGAGACAAAGAUGAGGAGAUAUUUCGGUUUGAACAAGCGGACGACACAGAAGAUGGGAGAUUAUGAAGUUGAUGUCAGAGGAUGCCGCUCUGUGAGGAUUUCGGUGAAUUUUCAAGGUUUUCAGCACUGCUGAGCACUGGUGGCUUCAUUUCGGUGGUAUUUUUAUGGGAUUUUUAUGAAGUUUGGGAGGAAACGGGAAUGUCACAGACUGUUUAAUGGCAGCUUUUGGGAGAGACCGGUGAAUUUAGGUUGGAGAAAACAAAUUGCAGUUGGAGUCUUCCAUAAGAGGAGAUAAAUAGUUUUGAUUUUUGUUUCUCCGCCCAGUGAUAAGGUACCCGAGAAUUACCCGGCUCCAUCCAGAGGGCAAAUACACGAAAAAAAAAAUCGAGAUAUCCUCCGGGGCACGUGGUCCAGCUGUUCGAUAAAAUUCGGCAACGUCGGGUAUCUUUCCCUUUAUCAUCUGGACAGCUGCUCUGCCAGUCGGCCAGCCCGAGCGUAAAUAGGGUGUUGAAUUUUGGGCGGAUCAUCGAGGUCUAUUCGCAUCGCUGGAGUUUUUUCACGUCAUAUAAGGAACAUUAGCCACUGGGAAUUCUUCGCAAAAAUUUCUCUGCAGAUGUCUCCGCUGAAUCUCAGAAGAUCGAUGAUUCUGUCAGACUUCAGCAUCACGUUUGCAGAGGCACGUGUCAAGUGUAUGGCUGAAUUUCGAUGAGUACCGAUGAUGGAAAUUGUAGAAGGGGCAAGGGUCACAAUCGACUAAAGGUUCACCGGGGCUGGCUCAGUGUAUUUGAGGAGCACUAGGCGAUUCCCUCGAGAGUGGCUGGUCAUCUCCCCGGCAAGCUUGAGGGCUUACUAGCCGUCCCAUGGGACACCGCAGCCCUCCACAUGACUUUCACCCUCCUAUCAAUGACGCCAGCAGUGAGCCACUGUCCAUCAAUGCAUAUCCGGCAGUUUUAAUGGCCAUCGGCCGCGUCACUCCGCUUUUGAUGAUUAAUUCCUUCGUUAGAAUGAGUCAAGGAUCAAUUAAAAACGCUGGUCAAUUGAAUUCCCAAAGAAACUUUAGAGUGGAUUCAAAUUGAGGGAUUAAACUGGCAAUUAUUCAACUUGUAAUUCGAUUUUUUCAUAUAAUAAACAGCGCAACAAAACCGUUUCAUAGAGAAUCCAAAAAAAUCACUAGAUUUCGCUAUCAAUUUGUUUCGUGUUCACAUGUCAAACAAGAUAUUUUUCAAACGAUUUUUCUGUCUACCAUUUUUAUAGGUGAAUUCUGUAAAUAUGAUACAGCGUGGAAUGAAAACACAGAUACCCAAAAAAAAUAAAUUGUAAAAUAUACAAUUGUUGAUAUACGAUAUUUUUUACGAUUUUCAGUCUUUGUUGCACACCUCAUGCAAUAAAUCUGAAGAUUAAAAAAGUGCAAAUUAAUUUACCGAAUGACAAAGAUUGUCAAUGAACGAAAUGGUUCAUGAAUUUGCCCAUUUUGUAUGGAUUAACCACCAUAAAAUACGCUUAAAAUACUCACUGAAACGUUUUAUGAACGUCUAAUGAUUUAUAAAUCGACGAGAAUAACCAUCAGCCACUUAAAAAUUCAGUCAACUCCUUAAUUGAAUUAUACAUGAUACGAUGAGUUCUUUCUCGCAAUUUCCGUGGAGUAGCCGAUCUUAUCCGGUUUAAGGAAGACCCUCUCAGUGUUCUGCGGCCAGAGGGAUUAUGCGAAAUCUCGCCAA